UAACGUCAUGAUUAUUGUAACAAUUAAGGUAAAAUUAUAGAGGUACCGCUGAUAAUAAAAGUCAAAACGACAAGGGUAUCAUUAAUAAAAGUCAAAACGACAAGGGUAUAUUGAUAAUUUCACUAAAAAAAAUUAUGAAUCCCAUUUCACCACCAAAAAAAACUAUCCAUGAUAAAUCCCCAAAUAAACCCUAAAAUUCAAUGUUGAUCAACUAUAUUAGAAAUUAAUCCCUUAAACCAUCAAUUUGAUCUUUAAUACUAAUUCAGGAGAACACAUCAAUGAAGAAUCAAAUCAAAGAUUUAAGAUUUAUGAAAAAUUUAACAAAUUUUCAGUUGAUUUGGGGCUCUUUUUUUCUUACAUUUGGCGUGAUUUCGUUUCUGGGUUUUCUUUAUUGUGCUGUCAUUUCCAAGCUCAUGCCGCCAUCACAAAACCCCUUAAUAUUUGCUAUACAGAGAGACAGAUAUUAUUGCUUCUUGGUCCCAUUGUCGCUUCCAAUCCUUGUGGUUGCUGUCUACUUCCAUUGGCUCAGCAUGAAACUCUUCAAGCAUGCAUGAUUUUUGCACCAGUCUUCAUAUCAGUUUCAUGCAGACUAAUUUCAUUGUUAUGAGCCUCACUACAAGCAGAAUUUAAAUGUGGUUGGACUACUUGAAGACAGUAUCAGUUUGGCAAUCUCCCCAAAAUGCAGAUCGAACCAUUCAUCAUCUCUAAUACUACAUAGUUGUGGACUAUUGCUUUUAUGUAGUAACACUUCCUAUUUCAGCUGUCUGGAAAUCUGGAUGCAAGCAUGAUCAAAUAGGUUAUUGGACUGCUUUAACUUUGAAAGGAACAUCAGAACUGUAAACGCUGGAAGUAUAGUGUCAAUUGUCUUUCAUGAUACACACAUGAUUUUUUUUGUGCACAUGCAUAUACUUCUUGGUGAAUGGUGAUGAGUGUGAGGUAAAGUACUUGAACAUGAAAGAGGAUAAGUAGCCAGGCAGUAGCAAGGUUAGAACAUUCAGGAUCAAUAUGGAGCAUGGAGAUCGGAGGCAAAAUGAGCGGAAGAGGCAGGAAGAAAAAUAAUUAAUUGUGGAAAUCAGCACAGAUCAUGCCCGAUCCAGCGAUCCUUAGCUCAAGUGCUUUUGUGAAGUUCUGGAAACUGCAUAUUUCUGCAAUUUCGAAUGGUUAGUUUAUAAAAGUACAGAGAGUCUAAUGGAAUGCGCCUUUAAUGACAUGGCAUGAUCAAUUGUAGAAUUGAAGCAUCUAUAUGAUGGUAUUACUAUCCUCACGCUAAGCUUGGAACUAUUUUGAUCUGAGUCAUAUCUCAUAUGGAAUAAAUGUAUUUGUACCUGAUUUGCAGGUACAGCAUCACUUUAUCCUCUUUGAGAACUUUAACUUGUACUAUGAGCCUUUUUUCUUGGUUGCUUAUAUAGUUAUAUUAUGGCGUA